CCCUGAUCUGAGCUAAUCCCACAGGCUAAUCUUGCCACUAGCUUGAGAGCCACAGGAAUCAUUCUACUCUCCCUCAAUGGGAGGAAUGGUCCCAGUGUUCUAACCCAGCUGCAGUCCCAAAACGGGAUACAUGUGAUAGGACCAUGUGCACCACUACGAUGGUCCUCACCACUAUUGCUGUCAUCCUAUACAGAAAGUUCUCAAACCGAGUCGAACCGCACAAUGUUGAUGAUGCCAAUGAGGUGCCCUACAUGAAGAGCAAUGGAGUGGACCCUAAGAAAUAACAACCCUCACAGCAGACGUAGCUCUAGUCUACAGUCUACAUGACACGAACUGAAGACAGGUCUUCACCUUGAUGGCUACACAUCUGACAACAGCAGCAGCUCCAUCUCAGUCAUCUGGAAUUGAUGCAGCUGGCGCCAUUGUCUCUCCAGUGUUCAGAGACUGUGCAUUGCCACAUGAAAAGCAUCCGGAAUUAAUAACAGGCCAGGGCAGGCCAGCACAACAAGGAUCUUUUUUUAUCACAUCUUCAAUCCCCCAUCUGUUCCUCAGAUCCCUCUAAUGUUAUUUCGGCAGAGGACAGUCCCAGGAGGCCUCCCUCCCUCCUCCUUCUUGAGGCAGGAGAAUUCCACCAAUCACAUCUUGGUGGAGCUGAAUCUACAGAACAACAUCUUGGUUUAUUGUGGGUUUCUUGUUUUGUAGAGUUGGACGUUUUCUUAAGGCUUAAAGAAGGCCAAUGGUCAAUGUAAAACUGUUGGAAAGUGUUCCGUGCCUCAAAAAACAGUAGUUUUCUUUGAUUGUCAUUUUUUGUCUUUCAGCAAAUAGGGCUAUACAGAUUUGUGUCCAUUGAGUAAAUUAUAAUGGCUUUUAAAGAAGAGGCAGAACUUUCAAAUUCUGCACUUUAAAUGGUAGGAUGUUUUUGGUAAUCUUUCACAUUCCUAAAGUGACCUAAAUAUUGUUUUUGACUGAAACAAGGAGCUAUGGAUAAGCAAUAUGUUUAAAAUGAAUCGCUUGAACCCAUAAAUAUUUGACCAAAUGUCAGAGAACAUAAAUGUCUUGUAGUGAAGAUGUGUGUGCCAUGGCUACUCAAUCUAAAGCGCAAUGGAAAGAGGCAUCUGUUUUGUACCUCUCUGUCAACCCUCUCCAGUCACAAUGCAUUUCUAUGUGAUGAAAGAAAGCCUGCAAUGAAUCACCUCUUUCCCUACACCUUUAGCAUCCCGUUGGUCCCAUUGAAGGAGCAACAGUCAGAAAGAGGUGUGUUACUAGUCUGCCUAUGUUCAAAACACAGCUCCAACUUUACUUUACAUUUUUAAAAGCAGCUAGGUGUCACCUUAGUAAACGUCUGCCUUGAGUCAGAGCUUGGUUAUGAUGGUGGUUACUGGUAGGACGGUUUGUUACAGAAUCGACUUUCCUUUGACAUGUCAUCUUACAACCUGCUUUUUCUCUCUAAAGCAAAAAUGAUG